AAAGUACAGGUAAUUGUACAAACUCAAACAUUAGAUCUCUACAAUCAUGCCAUUGCAGGAUAAUGUUUCAAAGUCAGAAACAGAGCCGUCUGGAAUUCCAGUGCCAUUGCUGUCUGCAUAUCUCAUCAGUGUACAUGAACAGUGUGCUUUCAACUCAUUGGACAACUCUCUCCAGUCGUUUGUUAUACAGGGAAUCAAUAGAAUCGAUUCCUCUUUGAAUAGCAUGGAGUUUCUUUUCGUCUCACGCUGUGGGUUGCACUUCAGUGAUGGUAUACAGUGGGUAUACUGGUGCAGUUGUGAUAGUGCACGUGGCCACUUACUAAAUAGCUGCUCCACUUCGGUUGAUUCCACAUAUGAUGCAUUCACAAGCAUUGUUGGCUCUGAAUGUAUCCACAUCGAAGCAACUAGACUGAUUAUCCAAGAGACUGACAAUAUUCACAACAUUACAUCAGCUCAAGAAUUAUCAGAUCAUUCGUAUACUUUGAAUAUUGAACCUCACAAGGAGGACACCUCCUACAGUAUAAAUGUUGGCACAGAGCUGAUCGCUUCAACAUUGUAAACAACACUUCUAUUUUGGGCUCAGUCGACACAUAUUGUAAAGUGUGCAGUACGCUUACACGAGAUGAAGAAGACAAGCAGGAAUCUGUACGGAGCAAAAUUAUACUGUUCAAU